GUUUCUAAUUUUAUUUUCCUGAACAAGCCCAAUCCCAUCUGAUCUCGGAAGCUAAGCAAGGUUGGGCUCGGUUAGUACUUGGAUGGGAGACCACUUAGGAAGACCAGGUGCUUUAGGCA
rnacentral:rRNA from 1 species